rnacentral:rRNA from 1 species
GAUGAACGCUGGCGGCGUGCCUAAUACAUGCAAGUCGAGCGAACAGACGAGGAGCUUGCUCCUCUGACGUUAGCGGCGGACGGGUGAGUAACACGUGGAUAACCUACCUAUAAGACUGGAUAACUUCGGGAAACCGGAGCUAAUACCGGAUAAUAUAUUUAACCGCAUGGUUCAAUAGGGAAAGUCGGUUUUGCUGUCACUUAUUGAUGGAUCCGCGCCGCAUUAGCUAGUUGGUAAGGUAACGGCUUACCAAGGCAACGAUGCGUAGCCGACCUGAGAGGGUGAUCGGCCACACUGGAACUGAGACACGGUCCAGACUCCUACGGGAGGCAGCAGUAGGGAAUCUUCCGCAAUGGGCGAAAGCCUGACGGAGCAACGCCGCGUGAGUGAUGAAGGUCUUCGGAUCGUAAAACUCUGUUAUUAGGGAAGAACAAAUGUGUAAGUAACUAUGCACGUCUUGACGGUACCUAAUCAGAAAGCCACGGCUAACUACGUG